GACGAACGCUGGCGGCGUGCUUAACACAUGCAAGUCGAACGGUGAAGGGGUCUGCUUUUGUGGGCCCUGGAUGAGUGGCGAACGGGUGAGUAACACGUGAGUAACCUGCCCCCUUCUUCUGGAUAACCGCAUGAAAGUGUGGCUAAUACGGGAUAUUCUGGGUCUGUCGCAUGAUGGGUCUGGGAAAGAUUGCGCCUUUGGGUGUUUUUGGUGGGGGAUGGGCUCGCGGCCUAUCAGCUUGUUGGUGGGGUGAUGGCCUACCAAGGCGGUGACGGGUAGCCGGCCUGAGAGGGGGGACGGUCACACUGGGACUGAGGCACGGCCCAGACUCCUACGGGAGGCAGCAGUGGGGAAUAUUGCACAAUGGGCGCAAGCCUGAUGCAGCGACGCCGCGUGAGGGAGGGAGGCCUUCGGGUUGUAAACCUCUUUCGCCAGUGAAGCAGGCCUGCUCCGUGUGGGUGGGUUGACGGUAGCUGGAGAAGAAGCGCCGGCUAACUACGUG
rnacentral:rRNA from 1 species